UUAAGCGACUAAGCGUACACGGUGGAUGCCCUGGCAGUCAGAGGCGAUGAAGGACGUGCUAAUCUGCGAAAAGCGUCGGUAAGGUGAUAUGAACCGUUAUAGCCGGCGAUGUCCGAAUGGGGAAACCCAGUGUGAUUCGUCACACUAUCGUUAACUGAAUACAUAGGUUAACGAGGCGAACCGGGGGAACUGAAACAUCUAAGUACCCCGAGGAAAAGAAAUCAACCGAGAUUCCCCCAGUAGCGGCGAGCGAACGGGGAGCAGCCCAGAGUCUGAAUCAGCUUGUGUGUUAGUGGAACGGUCUGGAAAGUCCGACGGUACAGGGUGAUAGUCCCGUACACCAAAAUGCACAGGCUGUGAACUCGAAGAGUAGGGCGGGACACGUGGUAUCCUGUCUGAAUAUGGGGGGACCAUCCUCCAAGGCUAAAUACUCCUGACUGACCGAUAGUGAACCAGUACCGUGAGGGAAAGGCGAAAAGAACCCCGGCGAGGGGAGUGAAAAAGAACCUGAAACCGUGUACGUACAAGCAGUGGGAGCACCUUCGGGUGUGACUGCGUACCUUUUGUAUAAUGGGUCAGCGACUUAUAUUCUGUAGCAAGGUUAACCGUAUAGGGGAGCCGCAGGGAAACCGAGUCUUAACUGGGCGUUAAGUUGCAGGGUAUAGACCCGAAACCCGGUGAUCUAGCCAUGGGCAGGUUGAAGGUUGGGUAACACUAACUGGAGGACCGAACCGACUAAUGUUGAAAAAUUAGCGGAUGACUUGUGGCUGGGGGUGAAAGGCCAAUCAAACCGGGAGAUAGCUGGUUCUCCCCGAAAGCUAUUUAGGUAGCGCCUCGUGAAUUCAUCUUCGGGGGUAGAGCACUGUUUCGGCUAGGGGGUCAUCCCGACUUACCAACCCGAUGCAAACUACGAAUACCGAAGAAUGUUAUCACGGGAGACACACGGCGGGUGCUAACGUCCGUCGUGAAGAGGGAAACAACCCAGACCGCCAGCUAAGGUCCCAAAGUCAUGGUUAAGUGGGAAACGAUGUGGGAAGGCACAGACAGCCAGGAUGUUGGCUUAGAAGCAGCCAUCAUUUAAAGAAAGCGUAAUAGCUCACUGGUCGAGUCGGCCUGCGCGGAAGAUGUAACGGGGCUAAACCAUGCACCGAAGCUGCGGCAGCGACACUAUGUGUUGUUGGGUAGGGGAGCGUUCUGUAAGCCUGCGAAGGUGUGCUGUGAGGCAUGCUGGAGGUAUCAGAAGUGCGAAUGCUGACAUAAGUAACGAUAAAGCGGGUGAAAAGCCCGCUCGCCGGAAGACCAAGGGUUCCUGUCCAACGUUAAUCGGGGCAGGGUGAGUCGACCCCUAAGGCGAGGCCGAAAGGCGUAGUCGAUGGGAAACAGGUUAAUAUUCCUGUACUUGGUGUUACUGCGAAGGGGGGACGGAGAAGGCUAUGUUAGCCGGGCGACGGUUGUCCCGGUUUAAGCAUGUAGGCUGGUUAUCCAGGCAAAUCCGGAUAAUCAAGGCUGAGGUGUGAUGACGAGGCACUACGGUGCUGAAGUAACAAAUGCCCUGCUUCCAGGAAAAGCCUCUAAGCAUCAGGUAACAUCAAAUCGUACCCCAAACCGACACAGGUGGUCAGGUAGAGAAUACCAAGGCGCUUGAGAGAACUCGGGUGAAGGAACUAGGCAAAAUGGUGCCGUAACUUCGGGAGAAGGCACGCUGGUGUGUAGGUGAAGUCCCUGCGGAUGGAGCUGAGACCAGUCGAAGAUACCAGCUGGCUGCAACUGUUUAUUAAAAACACAGCACUGUGCAAACACGAAAGUGGACGUAUACGGUGUGACGCCUGCCCGGUGCCGGAAGGUUAAUUGAUGGGGUUAUCCGUAAGGAGAAGCUCUUGAUCGAAGCCCCGGUAAACGGCGGCCGUAACUAUAACGGUCCUAAGGUAGCGAAAUUCCUUGUCGGGUAAGUUCCGACCUGCACGAAUGGCGUAAUGAUGGCCAGGCUGUCUCCACCCGAGACUCAGUGAAAUUGAACUCGCUGUGAAGAUGCAGUGUACCCGCGGCAAGACGGAAAGACCCCGUGAACCUUUACUAUAGCUUGACACUGAACAUUGAGCCUUGAUGUGUAGGAUAGGUGGGAGGCUUUGAAGCGUGGACGCCAGUCUGCGUGGAGCCAACCUUGAAAUACCACCCUUUAAUGUUUGAUGUUCUAACGUUGGCCCCUGACCGGGGUUGCGGACAGUGUCUGGUGGGUAGUUUGACUGGGGCGGUCUCCUCCCAAAGCGUAACGGAGGAGCACGAAGGUUAGCUAAUCCUGGUCGGACAUCAGGAGGUUAGUGCAAUGGCAUAAGCUAGCUUGACUGCGAGCGUGACGGCGCGAGCAGGUGCGAAAGCAGGUCAUAGUGAUCCGGUGGUUCUGAAUGGAAGGGCCAUCGCUCAACGGAUAAAAGGUACUCCGGGGAUAACAGGCUGAUACCGCCCAAGAGUUCAUAUCGACGGCGGUGUUUGGCACCUCGAUGUCGGCUCAUCACAUCCUGGGGCUGAAGUAGGUCCCAAGGGUAUGGCUGUUCGCCAUUUAAAGUGGUACGCGAGCUGGGUUUAGAACGUCGUGAGACAGUUCGGUCCCUAUCUGCCGUGGGCGCUGGAGAAUUGAGGGGGGCUGCUCCUAGUACGAGAGGACCGGAGUGGACGCAUCACUGGUGUUCGGGUUGUCAUGCCAAUGGCACUGCCCGGUAGCUAAAUGCGGAAGAGAUAAGUGCUGAAAGCAUCUAAGCACGAAACUUGCCCCGAGAUGAGUUCUCCCUGAGACUUUAAGUCUCCUGAAGGAACGUUAAAGACGAUGACGUUGAUAGGCCGGGUGUGUAAGCGCAGCGAUGCGUUGAGCUAACCGGUACUAAUGAACCGUGAGGCUUAACCUU
rnacentral:rRNA from 1 species